rnacentral:misc_RNA from 1 species
CAGAGUACCGGUGCCCUCUGGGCGCCUACUCCAACCCUUUGUCUACCACAACUCGUUGCUUUGGCGGGCCGGGUGCCCACGCACCGCCGGCCCCGGCUGGAGAGCGCCCGCCAGAGGAUACACAAACACUGCUCACGGUGUCAUCUGAGUAAAAAAAACAAAUGAAUCA